CUACACCUGUGGGCAACUCAUGGAGAAGACAGGGCCGAGCUCUUCUGGCAGGAGAAUGAUAAACAGAGUGCAGAAACUGCAGUAACAGAUGAGAGGUUCAGACCAGUUGCAGACAAAAGCUUUUUCAUCACUGGGACAGUCCAGUUUUGGUCACCAGAGAAGCUGGAAGUUCUUGGAGCUUUUCAAACCUGACUGGGAAACCUUGCUUGUCCAUGGUAGGCUAAGCAAGCAGAACAGAGUUUUUUGUAUCCUUGUUGCUGCUGUGCUCAAUGUGUAUGGCCAAGCAGCUAAGGGAAUCCAGCCCUGCUCUAACCACAGAAGAGCUGUCUAUUUUAUAAUUGCUUAGGCUCUCACCGCGUUCCUCCUUAAUUGUUUAUAGCUAACGUUCAUGUAGCACAGCACCGUAGUAUAAACAGACCUUCUCCCCAACUCCUUUAAUUUGAUAUUCGAUCACCGUAAGUAUUACCAGACUCCUGCAGAAGGUUGCUGGGCUUAGCUUCUUUAGCCUUACACACUUCACUGGAGGCCUAAAUGAAUUAGUUCUGAGACACAGAAAUUUGUAGCUGAGUAGGAACUGUGCAAUUUGACUGCAAAACAUCCUUUCUCCACCCUGCCCACUUAAAAAGAGAAGAUUGAAAUAGAAGCCCUCUUUCAGGAAACGAUGUACUUCACUCUAUGGCUGUGUGGGAGAGCAAUUGACUACACAUCAACUUUCCAUGAGUGCUAAGAGGAAAAUUAUAAUUGAUCCAAGUCAGAGGAGCCAUAUUCAUAUAAAGAACACUCUCAAAGCUGAGAGCUCAAAGGAAGAGUGCUCUUGCACAACUGUGCACAAGCUGUCAAAGCACGCCUUUCUGAAAGAAAAAUAACAGAGCUCCCUCUCUUUGCUUCCUUUUCAGAAGGUAUCUGAGAAAGGGUGGGUUCUGCUUCCAGUCCUGCCAUUUCAUUCUGAGUGCUCAUAUCAACGAACACUUAACACAAUAGGCGUUAUUUUUGGUAGCUGAACAGCUUGCAGAUCUGCACUUAGACAAACCUCUCCGCAUGCAACAGGGAGCGCCGUCUGUGUUUGGUGAACCUGGGGCUGGAAGGGAAGCUUUGGCGAAUGGGGUUUCUGUGCAGCCCAUUUCAGUUGGUGCUGUUUCAAAAACUGCAACGAGUUAAUGCCAGGAGGGUUUCUCUGGUACAGUGAUGCAAUGAGGGGGCAAUAAUUUAUCCAGCUCCUACUGUGAGAAAGCCAGCAGAAUCAAUCAGCCGUUUCCAAAGGGCAUUUGAUGGAGAGGCAACAGACCCUUCGUUUCAGUGGGACUGCACAGGUGUAAUGACAAGGAAGCUUUCUAACUAUCCUAGAUUCCUCAGAGGGAGUCUCUCUGCAC
ensembl:lncRNA